rnacentral:rRNA from 1 species
UACGUAGGGUCCGAGCGUUGUCCGGAAUUAUUGGGCGUAAAGAGCUCGUAGGCGGUUUGUCGCGUCUGCUGUGAAAACUCAGGGCUUAACCCUGAGCCUGCAGUGGGUACGGGCAGACUAGAGUGUGGUAGGGGAGAUCGGAAUUCCUGGUGUAGCGGUGGAAUGCGCAGAUAUCAGGAGGAACACCGGUGGCGAAGGCGGAUCUCUGGGCCAUAACUGACGCUGAGGAGCGAAAGCAUGGGGAGCGAACAGG